AUUGAACGCUGGCGGCAUGCCUUACACAUGCAAGUCGAACGGCAGCGCGGGGCAACCUGGCGGCGAGUGGCGAACGGGUGAGUAACAUAUCGGAACAUACCCUAGAGUGGGGAUAACGUAGCGAAGUUACGCUAAUACCGCAUACGCACUAAGGUGGAAAGUGGGGGAUCUUCGGACCUCAUGCUCAUGGAGUGGCCGAUAUCUGAUUAGCUAGUUGGUGAGGUAAAGGCUCACCAAGGCGACGAUCAGUAGCUGGUUUGAGAGAACGACCAGCCACACUGGAACUGAGACACGGUCCAGACUCCUACGGAGGCAGCAGUGGGGAAUUUUGGACGAAUGGGGGCAACCCUGAUCCAGCAAUGCCGCGUGAGCGAAGAAGGCCU
rnacentral:rRNA from 1 species